rnacentral:rRNA from 1 species
GAUGAACGCUGGCGGCGUGCCUAAUACAUGCAAGUCGAGCGAGCAGACGAGGAGCUUGCUCCUCUGACGUUAGCGGCGGACGGGUGAGUAACACGUGGAUAACCUACCUAUAAGACUGGGAUAACUGCGGGAAACCGGAGCUAAUACCGGAUAAUAUAUUGAACCGCAUGGUUCAAUAGUGAAAGACGGUUUUGCUGUCACUUAUAGAUGGAUCCGCGCCGCAUUAGCUAGUUGGUAAGGUAACGGCUUACCAAGGCAACGAUGCGUAGCCGACCUGAGAGGGUGAUCGGCCACACUGGAACUGAGACACGGUCCAGACUCCUACGGGAGGCAGCAGUAGGGAAUCUUCCGCAAUGGGCGAAAGCCUGACGGAGCAACGCCGCGUGAGUGAUGAAGGUCUUCGGAUCGUAAAACUCUGUUAUUAGGGAAGAACAAAUGUGUAAGUAACUAUGCACGUCUUGACGGUACCUAAUCAGAAAGCCACGGCUAACUACGUG